UUCGCUUGCUUCUACCUGCUCUGGAUCUUUGUAGCAUCAAGCAGCCUGCGAGGGACGUGGCUGUGGCAGAGCGCGCAUCAUCGAUAAGCGGACGACCAUGGCGAACUUGGUACGGAGCAACGGUGGCGGCGAGCCGGCGGGAAUACGAGCCGGCCACCAUGAGGUUGGAGUGGAUUUUUGUUUUCCUCCAAUACGAACUUUCCUUUGAAUUUUCAGGCACACCAUCGUUUGAAUUCCUCCUCUCUCGUUGCCCCGUGCGUGACCGGCCGGAGGAAGCUUUGACGUUCGCCCACGUUCGUGUCAUGGUGCGUGCCUGAUUUUAGAGGUCGGCCUCCGCUGGGGUUAUUUCGCCGCACAGCAGCCGUUCCUUUGGAGUUCUGUUUGGCCGAAGGCCGCCGCGGCGCCAAGAUCAUCUUGCCGCCCAAUAAUGCCUGAUUCAGAGCUCCACACUAGGUGCUGAGCAGCAGUGGUCCACUUGUCCACUAAUUUUUUUUCUAGUGAGUUUUUUUUUUGCUAAUCUGGAUUUUAUUAUCGUGACUUCUGAGUGAAUUAUAUGUCACAGCUCACAUCAAGCGAAAUAGUCAUGAUUUUUUGCAUAAUAAAGGCAGCAACAAAAUAAUACUACUCGAAUAAAACUCAAGGAAAUAUGAAAGGGUUUUGCUAAGGUACUCCCAAAUGAGCGCGGUCUGUCGAUCUAAUGACAUAUUACCUGUAAGGAGUAAUAGGUUUGAUAUUUAUUAUAUGUAUUUUUAAAUCCGAAAAUAGGAAAAUAUCUGCAUCUAACAGCCAUGCAAUUACCAUGCAAUUACCGAUUAGAUCUUUUUGCACCCCCUCCUGAUGUGAUAAUGACCAUUUUGCCAUUUUCUAGAGAAAAUGACAGCUGUUGUGUUGCCCCCCUAUUAUGAACCAACCGGUAAAAAAAACGACAACAGAGAGAAGAACAGCUCUAAAAAUAAGAAAAUAUCUGCAUCUAACUGCCAUGCAAUUACUGAUCAGAUCUUUUUGCCCCCCUCCUGGCGUGAUAAUGACCAUUUUGCUAUUUUGUAGAGAACAUGAC
rnacentral:lncRNA from 1 species